UGCAGCUAACGCAUUAAGCACUCCGCCUGGGGAGUACGGUCGCAAGACUGAAACUCAAAGGAAUUGACGGGGGCCCGCACAAGCGGUGGAGCAUGUGGUUUAAUUCGAAGCAACGCGAAGAACCUUACCAGGUCUUGACAUCCCGCUGACCGUUCUAGAGAUAGAUCUUUCCCUUCGGGGACAGCGGUGACAGGUGGUGCAUGGUUGUCGUCAGCUCGUGUCGUGAGAUGUUGGGUUAAGUCCCGCAACGAGCGCAACCCUUGAUCUUAGUUGCCAGCAUUUAGUUGGGCACUCUAAGGUGACUGCCGGUGAUAAACCGGAGGAAGGUGGGGAUGACGUCAAAUCAUCAUGCCCCUUAUGACCUGGGCUACACACGUGCUACAAUGGACGGUACAGAGGGUCGCAACCCCGCGAGGGUGAGCUAAUCCCAUAAAACCGUUCUCAGUUCGGAUUGUAGGCUGCAACUCGCCUACAUGAAGCCGGAAUCGCUAGUAAUCGUGGAUCAGCAUGCCACGGUGAAUACGUUCCCGGGCCUUGUACACACCGCCCGUCACACCACGAGAGUUUGUAACACCCGAAGUCGGUGGGGUAACCCUUACGGGAGCCAGCCGCCG
rnacentral:rRNA from 1 species